rnacentral:rRNA from 1 species
CUUCUCGCUGACGAGCGGCGGACGGGUGAGUAAUACUUAGGAAUCUACCUAGUAGUGGGGGAUAGCACGGGGAAACUCGUAUUAAUACCGCAUACGACCUACGGGAGAAAGGGGGCAGUUUACUGCUCUCGCUAUUAGAUGAGCCUAAGUCGGAUUAGCUAGAUGGUGGGGUAAAGGCCUACCAUGGCGACGAUCUGUAGCUGGUCUGAGAGGAUGAUCAGCCACACCGGGACUGAGACACGGCCCGGACUCCUACGGGAGGCAGCAGUGGGGAAUAUUGGACAAUGGGGGAAACCCUGAUCCAGCCAUGCCGCGUGUGUGAAGAAGGCCUUUUGGUUGUAAAGCACUUUAAGCAGUGAAGAAGACUCCGUGGUUAAUACCCACGGACGAUGACAUUAGCUGCAGAAUAAGCACCGGCUAACUCUGUGCCAGCAGCCGCGGUAAUACAGAGGGUGCAAGCGUUAAUCGGAAUUACUGGGCGUAAAGGGAGCGUAGGUGGCUCUAUAAGUCAGAUGUGAAAUCCCCGGGCUUAACCUGGGAACUGCAUCUGAAACUGUAGAGCUAGAGUAUGUGAGAGGAAGGUAGAAUUCCAGGUGUAG